AAGUCGUAACAAGGUUUCCGUAGGUGAACCUGCGGAAGGAUCAUUAAAGAUUCGAGCUUCGGCUCACCUCUUCAGCUGUGCGCUCCGGCUGCACGCUGUUGAACAUCUCACACCUGUGCACCUUCUCGGUUGCGAUGCGUUCGCGUGUCGCUUCCGCUUUCACAUUUUACUACAACAGUCCAGAAUGUAACAAACCAUAAAGUAACAACUUUCAACAACGGAUCUCUUGGCUCUC
rnacentral:misc_RNA from 1 species